UACGUAGGGUGCAAGCGUUAAUCGGAAUUACUGGGCGUAAAGCGUGCGCAGGCGGUUCGCUAAGACAGAUGUGAAAUCCCCGGGCUUAACCUGGGAACUGCAUUUGUGACUGGCGGGCUAGAGUAUGGCAGAGGGGGGUAGAAUUCCACGUGUAGCAGUGAAAUGCGUAGAGAUGUGGAGGAAUACCGAUGGCGAAGGCAGCCCCCUGGGCCAAUACUGACGCUCAUGCACGAAAGCGUGGGGAGCGAUCCGG
rnacentral:rRNA from 1 species